rfam:Capsicum annuum cultivar Zunla-1 chromosome 2, whole genome shotgun sequence
AUAUGGUGUGAUGAUGAUUAUCCACAUAUUCUGUAUAGUUUAAUGAUGAUUUCAAAUUCAUGCACUACCAUCUGAUCUUGU